UGCCCAGCAACUCCUAUCCCUACCUCCUCGCGGUACUGGCCGGGGUACGAGUAACCUUAGGGAAGAUCGGGUAACCAACCCCCGGUGGGAACUUUGGUCGUAUGCUGACAGAAAAGG
rnacentral:ribozyme from 1 species